rnacentral:rRNA from 1 species
UGGGGAAUAUUGCACAAUGGAGGGAACUCUGAUGCAGCGACGCCGCGUGAGUGAUGAAGGAAUUCGUUUCGUAAAACUCUGUUCUAUGGGAAGAAAAGGACUGUACCAUAGGAGAAAGCUCCGGCUAAAUACGUGCCAGCAGCCGCGGUAAUACGUAUGGAGCGAGCGUUGUCCGGAAUUAUUGGGCGUAAAGGGUGCGCAGGCGGCUUUACAAGUUGGAUGUGAAAUAUUGUGGCUCAACCACAAACGUGCAUCCAAAACUGCAAAGCUUGAGUUAAGGAGAGGUAAGUGGAAUUCCUGGUGUAGCGGUGGAAUGCGUAGAUAUCAGGAGGAAUACCGGUGGCGAAGGCGACUUACUGGACUUAAACUGACGCUAAGGCACGAAAGCGUGGGGAGCAAACAGG